rnacentral:misc_RNA from 1 species
GUUUUUUUGAAUUUUUUUCCCGAUUAAUUAUAGAUUUGAAGCAAAUCAACAAUCAAUCUCGUAAGGAUAAACGCUAGGCCAUUUCAUCUUGGAUUGUUUUAGGACUCCUGGCUGAUUGUGGCUAAGAUAUAGACUAGUACUGCAUUGUAUUCAACACUUAUUGCUCCAGAUUUCUAGGACUGUUCACCAAUGAAAAUUAAUACUGCUCGUGAAGGUUUAUCAUUAAUUGCACUCUAGAGUGGCACAAGGAUCCUGUAGUUUUUCAUUCAAUAGUACUUACAACAUUGCAAGAAUCAGAAGAACCACUAGAAGAGACUUGGGUAUAUUUCUUG